rnacentral:rRNA from 1 species
GAUGAACGCUAGCGGCAGGCCUAAUACAUGCAAGUCGGACGGGAUCGGGGAGCUUGCUCCCCGUGAGAGUGGCGCACGGGUGCGUAACACGUAUGUAACCUACCUUUAUCAGGGGGAUAGCCUCUCGAAAGAGAGAUUAACACCGCAUAACAUCACAUGAUAGCAUUAUCGAGUGAUCAAAUAUUCAUAGGAUAAAGAUGGGCAUGCGGGACAUUAGUUAGUUGGCGGGGUAACGGCCCACCAAGGCGACGAUGUCUAGGGGAUCUGAGAGGAUGACCCCCCACCCUGGUACUGAGACACGGACCAGACUCCUACGGGAGGCAGCAGUAAGGAAUAUUGGUCAAUGGACGCAAGUCUGAACCAGCCAUGCCGCGUGCAGGAGGACGGCCCUACGGGUUGUAAACUGCUUUUGUACCGGAAUAAACCCUUUUACGUGUAAGAGGCUGAAUGUACGGUAAGAAUAAGGAUCGGCUAACUCCGUGCCAGCCGCCGCCGUAA